rnacentral:rRNA from 1 species
GACGAACGCUGGCGGCGUGCUUAACGCAUGCAAGUCGAACGGAAAGGCCCUGCCUUUGUGGGGUGCUCGAGUGGCGAACGGGUGAGUAACACGUGAGUAACCUGCCCUUGACUUUGGGAUAACUUCAGGAAACUGGGGCUAAUACCGGAUAGGAGCUCCUGCUGCAUGGUGGGGGUUGGAAAGUUUCGGCGGUUGGGGAUGGACUCGCGGCUUAUCAGCUUGUUGGUGGGGUAGUGGCUUACCAAGGCUUUGACGGGUAGCCGGCCUGAGAGGGUGACCGGCCACAUUGGGACUGAGAUACGGCCCAGACUCCUACGGGAGGCAGCAGUGGGGAAUAUUGCACAAUGGGCGGAAGCCUGAUGCAGCAACGCCGCGUGCGGGAUGACGGCCUUCGGGUUGUAAACCGCUUUCGCCUGUGACGAAGCGUGAGUGACGGUAAUGGGUAAAGAAGCACCGGCUAACUACGU